rnacentral:rRNA from 1 species
UGCAAGUCGAACGGCAGCACGGGGCGAACCUGUGGCGAGUGGCGAACGGGUGAGUAAUGCAUCGGAACGUGCCAUUGAGUGGGGGGUAACGUAGCGAAAGUUACGCUAAUACCGCAUAUUCUGUGAGCAGGAAAGCAGGGGAUCGCAAGACCUUGCGCUCUUUGAGCGGCCGAUGUCAGAUUAGCUAGUUGGUGAGGUAACGGCUUACCAAGGCGACGAUCUGUAGCGGGUCUGAGAGGAUGAUCCGCCACACUGGAACUGAGACACGGUCCAGACUCCUACGGGAGGCAGCAGUGGGGAAUUUUUGGACAAUGGGGGCAACCCUGAUCCAGCCAUGCCGCGUGAGUGAAGAAGGCCUUCGGGUUGUAAAGCUCUUUCGGCCGGGAAGAAAUCGCAUGGGUUAAUACCCUGUGUGGAUGACGGUACCGGCAUAAGAAGCACCGGCUAACUACGUG